rnacentral:rRNA from 1 species
CGUGGGGGGUGCUAUACAUGCAGUCGAACGAACUCUGGUAUUGAUUGGUGCUUGCAUCAUGAUUUACAUUUGAGUGAGUGGCGAACUGGUGAGUAACACGUGGGAAACCUGCCCAGAAGCGGGGGAUAACACCUGGAAACAGAUGCUAAUACCGCAUAACAACUUGGACCGCAUGGUCCGAGUUUGAAAGAUGGCUUCGGCUAUCACUUUUGGAUGGUCCCGCGGCGUAUUAGCUAGAUGGUGGGGUAACGGCUCACCAUGGCAAUGAUACGUAGCCGACCUGAGAGGGUAAUCGGCCACAUUGGGACUGAGACACGGCCCAAACUCCUACGGGAGGCAGCAGUAGGGAAUCUUCCACAAUGGACGAAAGUCUGAUGGAGCAACGCCGCGUGAGUGAAGAAGGGUUUCGGCUCGUAAAACUCUGUUGUUAAAGAAGAACAUAUCUGAGAGUAACUGUUCAGGUAUUGACGGUAUUUAACCAGAAAGCCACGGCUAACUACGUGCCAGCAGCCGCGGUAAUACGUAGGUGGCAAGCGUUGUCCGGAUUUAUUGGGCGUAAAGCGAGCGCAGGCGGUUUUUUAAGUCUGAUGUGAAAGCCUUCGGCUCAACCGAAGAAGUGCAUCGGAAACUGGGAAACUUGAGUGCAGAAGAGGACAGUGGAACUCCAUGUGUAGCGGUGAAAUGCGUAGAUAUAUGGAAGAACACCAGUGGCGAAGGCGGCUGUCUGGUCUGUAACUGACGCUGAGGCUCGAAAGUAUGGGUAGCAAACAGGAUUAGAUACCCUGGUAGUCCAUACCGUAAACGAUGAAUGCUAAGUGUUGGAGGGUUUCCGCCCUUCAGUGCUGCAGCUAACGCAUUAAGCAUUCCGCCUGGGGAGUACGGCCGCAAGGCUGAAACUCAAGGAAUUGACGGGGGCCCGCACAAGCGGUGGAGCAUGUGGUUUAAUUCGAAGCUACGCGAAGAACCUUACCAGGUCUUGACAUACUAUGCAAAUCUAAGAGAUUAGACGUUCCCUUCGGGGACAUGGAUACAGGUGGUGCAUGGUUGUCGUCAGCUCGUGUCGUGAGAUGUUGGGUUAAGUCCCGCAACGAGCGCAACCCU